rnacentral:rRNA from 1 species
UGAGUAAUAUAUCGGAACGUGCCCGGUCGGUGGGGGAUAACGUAGCGAAAGCUACGCUAAUACCGCAUACGAUCUACGGAUGAAAGCGGGGGAUCGCAAGACCUCGCGCGAUUGGAGCGGCCGAUAUCAGAUUAGGUAGUUGGUGAGGUAAAGGCUCACCAAGCCGACGAUCUGUAGCUGGUCUGAGAGGACGACCAGCCACACUGGGACUGAGACACGGACCAGACUCCUACGGGAGGCAGCAGUGAGGAAUAUUGGACAAUGGGCGCAAGCCUGAUCCAGCCAUGCCGCGUGCAGGAAGAAGCAUCUAUGGUGUGUAAACUGCUUUUGUACGGGAAGAAACACUCCUACGUGUAGGAGCUUGACGGUACCGUAAGAAUAAGGAUCGGCUAACUCCGUG